AUGCUGUUCUCAGUUUCUGCACUCACCUGGUCCUGGGCCGGAAGGAGUGCGCUGUCCCCAGUGUGAGGAGCAGGGGCCAAAGGUUAUGCCAGCCCACAGCAACGAGGAGAUGCAUUGAAGGAAGGACGUUCGCUGCAGCACUAUUUUAAAUUUACAGAGGGAAGCAGGUCACCUCCUCCCACCCCUCAUCAUGAAGGAACCAGCUCACAGAUGCAGUGAAUGCACCAAGGCCACACUGAUUGUUCCUGAAACGACUGGCAUUAGACAUUCUCUCCACUAGGAUAGUCGUGAAUCAUUGUGAAGCAAACAAAUAGAAAUCAGGAGGGAGGCCAAUGUUCAGGAUCAGAGAAAAUUUUGAAGAUGCUCCACUGCUGGCUUUGAAGAUGGAGGAAGGAACCACAAACCAAAGGAAUGCAUUUGGGCCCAAGAAACUGGCAAAGGCAAGGACACAGACCUGUCCUAUCGUCUCCAGAAUAGGUUUGAGAGCCAUGCUUAGCACGGCCAGGGAUGAAACUGAGGGGGGUUGGUGAGGAUUAAAGAAGACAGACAAGAGAGUAAAGCUGGGGCUAGGUGGGACACUGCUCUCGGAUGGAGAAACAGUACCACAGCCUGAAAACGGAGUCUUUAUUUUAUAGCCAGAUUCCACAAGCAAGUUAAGAGUGUGGUCAAGAUGUUACAAUGUUCUUGGGGGAUUUGAAUCUACUCAAUUACAUGCACCUGAACUCUAUCAAGCUUUGUUUUGGGCACUUGCUGCACCUCCCGCAGUCUAUAUCCCUUACCCACCUGGGAUCACAGGUUUAGGUCAAGCUUACAACUAUUGCCUUUGUCUAUGAUUGUGCUGGGAGGGCUUUGCCCUCCAAGCUGGGACUUGCACAUGGCUUUGCCAGGAGAGAACCGUGCCCCCUCAUUAGUCCAAGGCUUAAACCUGUCCAAACGCUGUAGCCACUCUCCACAGGUUUGAUUUUAGCUCUUAGACCCAUUUCAGACUUCUAACCUCCACAUGUAAAACAAUGCAUGUGUGCUGUUUCUAAGCCAUUUAAGGUUGAGGUAAUUUGUUAACAGUGGCAACAGGAAACUAACACAAACCCCAGCCUCAGUCCUCGGGAGACAGCAGCAUGAGGAUGGGUGACUGCAGAGGCAGCCCAGAGUGUGAGUCCCGCUUUUCUUCCUUUAAGUGUCACUGUCAUCAUAACGGAGACACUGACUUAAAUGGCCCGUCGUGGUCUAUCAGGAGGAUGAGGCCUUCACUAAAGCUCUAGAGCAGUGGUUCUCAACCUUCCUAAUGCCUCGACCCUUUAAUACAGUUCCUCAUGUUGUGGUGACCCCCAACCAUAAAA